GCCGACAUGGUAGCCCAAUCACCCCAUACGUUUCCCGGAAAUUUAAUUGGAACUGAUGCGUCGUUUGGUUAUCUUUUGUGCAGUUACGCAUAGGAUUAGGCUGUAAUUUGAAAAGACACGUCUUUAUGUUAUAGCAUUGCGUGCCCAGCUAAACUAAACAGGUAUGUAUUUUGGUAAACGGUCUUUAGCUAACAGAAUAAAUCAAAAGAUUCAUAGUCUUCCCGACGUUUCGGCACACCUUUUUGGGAAUUACCGACACGACUCUUCGGUUGCUUUAAUGAUGACUCUUUGGUUGCUUUAACAAUUACGCCGAGCACACAUCCCUCCGAUCAAAUACAUCAGUUGCGACAAACCCUUCCUCUGUGUUUCUUCUGUUCACAGAGUCUUCCAAUUGUUGGCUUUAAAUCGAGUAGUGGUUGUAAGAAUUCACUUCUUUCCAUGGUUUCAAUCACUUUAUCUUUAUUGUGAUCGAGUGGUGGUAGUUGGAUAAUAAUUUGGUGAAGAAGAAGAAGAAAAAGAUGAGACUUCGAAACUUUCAUGAAACAGCUCUUUCGAAGUAGUGAGACAAACAUCUUGGUUAACUUUUUUUUUUUGAAAAAGGGGGUUAAAAUUGAUAACUGGAUGCGCAUACAUUACACAGAGUUACAAGGGAAAAGAAAUAAAGAUAAACAAUACAGUUUGAAGUCUCUUUUGGUUCUGAUUCUUUGUUUUGACACAACUUUGGGAAAACGUUUCUUUUUUUUUUUCUAUUUUUCUUUCUUUCGGCUUUUAGUCUCUGUAUCUCUUUAAAAUUCCCCCCAUCAUCUUUUCGAUCGCAUAAUUACCGGUCGCAAAUAUAAAGAGGAAAAUAAAAGGUUAAUUUCUAAAGAAGAAACGGAUGAUAGAUGUGAAAGUCAAAUGCAGUUCUUCAAUGAGAGUUUUAAAGUUUACCAAGUAUAUACACUAGGUUAUGGUUAAUGGAUCUUUUUUGGCAGCAAACUUCUACUUGGAAACAUCUCCACCAUUCAUUUAUGGUGAAAAUGGCUAAGGUGAUGAAGGGUUUGUGCCAGCACAUUCGACAGCUUAGGAGAACAUAACAACACUGAUGGGUUGUAUUAAACAAAAACAAAAAAAAACACUAAUGGCAUAUAUAUUAACUCAAGGUGACAAUUUUCCCAUUCGAUCGCUCAUCUGUUGUUGCUUACCAUGGGGAAGGGGUGAAUCUCAUAAGAAGGCCUCGCACUUUCAUGAACCGGAAAAGGCAUUCUACUAUAGUGCAGAGCAGCCAGUUAGUCGUGAACGGGAUGAAAUGGCACAAAAUGCUAUUGGUGUUCUGUUUGUGACAGCGUUGUCACAAAAUGCUAUUGAUAUCCUGUUUGUGACGUCAACUCACGGAUUGGAGCAGUUGGGAGAAAAUUGCAGACUGUGCAGUAUUGGGAUAGAGAGUGCAGGACGGGGAUAAAGUGGCUAUGCUCGGUCGUGAUGACAUAAGCACCCAUUCUUCACUGUUCUUAAGCUUUUUUGGUCUCAGGCUCGAUCUUCCUAUGAUUCAUCAAUUUUGUGUUCAUCAUAACACUAUAUUCCGUCAAGUUGAUUCCUGGAUUCUUUGUACGGUUAGCUAUAUAUAUAUAUCUAUAUAGGCUUUCAGGUUAUAAUCUAGAAUCGUGUAAGGAACUAAUGCAUCUUCCUAGAUGUCCAAAUAUUUUUCGGUCAAGAAAGGAAGACACCCGAGCACCCUGUGAGCGAGAAUCCAGAAAAAACUAGAUUUGCAUUUCUAACAAAGGGUUGAUCAGAAAAGAAGAAAAGCCACACAUCUUCACAGUUAAUUCUUUUGGGUCUGAAGCAUGAAACAAGUAAGAGGAUCACGAUAGUGUACAUGGUUACAUGUUGGAUAGAAAUACCCUGCAUAUAUUGGAUAUCCUUUUGAAACCUCUUUUUUCAAAAAUUUUAUCCUAUGAGUAAUUAGAGACGGUAAUGCAUUAAAUUAUCGGCCAUGAAGCAGUGGAUUGAUUCAAUGUUGAAUGUUCUUUAUUGAAUCUUUUGUGAUAGUAUCGUUAACCUAUUGAAUUUGGAAUUAGCCUUAAUUACAGAGGAA